UACGGAGGGUGCAAGCGUUAUCCGGAUUCACUGGGUUUAAAGGGUGCGUAGGUGGGUUGGUAAGUCAGUGGUGAAAUCUCCAGGCUUAACUUGGAAGCUGCCAUUGAUACUAUCAAUCUUGAAUACCGUGGAGGUCAGCGGAAUAUGUCAUGUAGCGGUGAAAUGCUUAGAUAUGACAUAGAACACCAAUUGCGAAGGCAGCUGGCUACACGAAUAUUGACACUGAUGCACGAAAGCGUGGGGAUCAAACAGG
rnacentral:rRNA from 1 species